ensembl:ncRNA H03E18.3 ncRNA
CAAGUUAAUAGAUGAGGUAUCCAGGGUUGGAAAGCAUGAUGAAAUGGAGACUAGUGGACAGAGGUGGUGGGGGUAUGAGAAGCCGAUGACAACCAAAAAAAAUACAGAAAUGAUGAAGAUACACGAGAAUGGACUGGAUUGCGUC